ACUCUAUCAAAAGCAGACAAGAAAGGCCAAUGAGAGAAGCGUCUUACUGGGCCUAAUGCUUCGACCUCCCAAUAAGGAGGUCUUCUUGCCUCAGUCUCCUGGGAUUAAAGGCAUGUACUACCUUGCCUGGGCCCAAGCUUUUCAUGGCCACUGUGCCUCAAGAUCUCCAUGUCAAGAUCCAGGUCAGAAACUUGUGUCUUCCAGCCUCAAGAUCUGGAUCACAGUUCAUUCCAGAUAUCGUCAAGCUGACAAGGAAUAGCCAUCACAGUCCUCCUACCUCUGCUUCUCGAAUGGCGUGGGAUUCCAGAGACUCAGUAUCCUUCACUUUGUAUAGAAGGCGGAGCUGAUAGCAGAAGUCCUUGGAGAGGAGGGCUAGUGAGGUGACUCAGCAGGUGAAGAUGCUGGCUGCCCUACCAAACUACUAGUCCGUGUGGGACUGUCCUCGGGGCGAUGCGGAAGUGCCUGCACUGCCGGAGGCGCUAGCUGAUGGAGGCCAACACCAAAGAAUGACCAUCAUCUCCCCCACCAACGCUGGCGAACCUUUCUCUUUUCUCCUGGGUAAUAAUACUGUGUCCCAGGCUUGCUCAGCGGGUGGCCAUAGGAGUCUGGGAGACCCGGUCCAGUGGACAGGGUUUUGGGGUUCCGCUUAGAGUUGCUUCAGUCUAUAGAAAGCUGAGCCGGGCUCUGCCUCUUCUAUCGCAUGACCCCCACCCGGUGGUGGUGUCCCCAAGAGGAGAUCACCCGGAUUCCCCCCACCCCCUUCUACCUCUGCGCAGAGGGAACGCUGCUACUUUCGGAGUUGUACUCCUUGGUCCGGGAUAUUCCUAGACCCUGCGCCUGAGGGGCUGGGAGCGCAGCGCUUUGUUAUUCAGCCGGAAAGAUGCCCCAAGAAUUAAAAGACUUUAUAAAAUGUAGGUUGACUACACCACCUGCACCUGCCUUCAUUGUUGCUCUCUCACAGAAUUUCAGAAAUGCGCUAGGCCUCCUGGUGCAUGCCUAUAAUCCGAAGGCAGGACUCCUGGGGUUUGAGGCCCUGUGACACGUAGAAAGACCUUGUUUCAAGAAAUUUAGAAAUACCAGCAUAUUAAAGACGCCUCCCCCCCCCCAAAAAAAAGACAUAUCCAAAACUAUGGGUCUUUGGGCUUUUGUACGACUCCUAUUAGGAGUUACGAACACGUGUGAAAUUACCUCAGAUAGGGGACCAAAAACAAACGAAACAACAUUGCUCCUAAAUCCAACUUGUUGAGCAAAUAAGUAAAUUACAGUCUGGGAACUGAUACUCUCAGAAGAGGGGGGAAAAUCACAUCUAUAUUAAAGAUUUUGCAAUACCAA
rnacentral:lncRNA from 1 species